CCCCUGCUCAGGAGCCUCAGUCCCCUCUGGUCCUGGGCUCUGAGAGAGACCGCAGCAUCUACACUGAGCGGACCACACUCCGGGGCCGCGCACAGCCCAUUCUUUGGGAGUCCGCACACACAAACAAGGGACAGGAGGGAGGGGAGUGGAACCAAAGGCUGCCUUCCUCACUGCUCUGUCCUCAGGAAACGCCUGGCCCUCCUCACCGGCGGGGCCGCGGUUGCCUCAAAACCAGAAGGCCAGGCCACGCCCACCAGGGACGUCCCCCACUGGAGCUCCUCGGCUUGCUUGUGAACCCUCCGCCAAAGAACCCACGGGCUGCCUGCUGUGUUUUGUAAAGUUUUCCAGAGUUCUUUUGUUCUUACCCAAAAGGACACACAGGGCAUGACAGUAUCCAGAUUUUUGAAAGGAGUGAGAUGACCUGUGUUCUUCCUGAGGGCCCUGCCUGCCUUGACACCGUAAGAUGCCCCGGUUCCAUGCACAUGGGUCACAGUGGGAACCAGGACAACACAGGCUUUUGAAGCUUGACCAGGCCCUGACACCGCGAGGCAGCCGUUGGUCCCCAGGGGUCUCAGGAGGCUGUCCUGAUGUUUUCUUCUGAGGACCCCACACAGCCGAGUUUUGUGAACCGGUCCUGGCCAUACAGCAAGGCAGAGGCCUUGCUACUUUUCUAGCCAAGUAAGGAGCUGUCAGUCACAGGCAGAACCACCCAGGACUGCUGAGCAGCACAGACUGGGCCAGGAGGGGCCAGGCUGGAUGUCCUGGGGUGGGGCUGGCUUGCUGGUGGUGUGAACUUGUCAUGGAUGCCCUUGGGUGUGGUGUCCCUCGGACUGGCUGGUGGAACCUGGUCACCUGUCUUCUGCUCUCCCAGCUCAGGUGCAGAUGUUACACCACUCCCUGACCUUCACUGUGAGCUGGAGGAGUAGGCUGAAGACUUUGGCCACGUGCCCUCCGCAUGACCUUGAACUCCUGGAAGUCUCAGCCUUAGCCGGCAGAUCUCGUCAUUGGCACCUCUGAGAUAUAAUAAACAGCCUCCCUGAGGAUCCUGAUGGCUGGA